rnacentral:rRNA from 1 species
GGGAAUUACGGUCGCAAGGCUAAGACUCAAACGAAUUGACGGGGCCCCCGCACAAGCAGCGGAGCGUGUGGUUCAAUUCGAUGCUACACGAAGAACCUUACCUGGGUUUGACAUGUACGUGGUACGAAGGCGAAAGCCUAAGGACCCUUCGGGGAGCGUACACAGGUGCUGCAUGGCUGUCGUCAGCUCAUGCCGUGAGGUGUCGGGUUAAGUCCCGUAACGAGCGCAACCCUUGCCCUUAGUUACAAGUGUCUAAGUGGACUGCCGGCGGGAAGCCGGACGAAGGUGGGGAUGACGUCAAGUCAGCAUGGCCCUUAUGUCCAGGGCUACACACACGCUACAAUGGUCAGUACAAACGGUAGCGAAGUCGCGAGGCGGAGCGAAUCUCAACAAAGCUGAUCGUAGUUCGGAUUGCAGGCUGCAACCCGCCUGCAUGAAGCUGGAGUUGCUAGUAACCGCGCGUCAGCCAUAGUGCGCCUGAAUACGUACCCGGGGCUUGUACACACCGCCCGUCACGUCAUGGGAGUCGGU